CUGUUUUGAGCCUAUCUUUCGGAAAUAACUUGGGAUCGGAGUAGGGUGAAUUGCUAAAAUAAUAUGAAAAUAAAAAAUUUAAUUCACAAUUCCAAUUUUAUUCAACUAUUAAAGUAAAAUUUAUCUGAUUAAACAAAAUUCCUGUUAUUUUUCCACGACUUAAAUUUUCAUUACAGUUUUUCCGUUUUGCUCUUUGAUCGCUUUAAUUGAUGGAAUCUAUUAUAAAUUGCAAUUUUGUUAUAAUCACAUUUUUGUGUAUAAAAGAAAAAAAUUUAACAAUAAAAAAAAAAUUCAACUCAUCUAAUUUUUCCGUAGUUUUUCUUGAUGUAAUCCAAGUUCCGUGAAUUUUGCUCCUUGAUCAUCGAUGACUUCCAAAACUAAUCAAAUGUUUAUCACUGGUUAAAUGUUUAAAAUUUAAAUUACCUCAAUUUUCGAUCACUAAUAGAUUAUGUCACAUAAUUUUAUUGGUUCAAACUUUUAUAAAAUCGCGGAAUUGAAACACGAAGGAAACCGCGGGAAAAGGAAUUCGAGUUGUUCGUACUAAGGGAUACUUCUCUGACUAUAACUAUUGACGACUACGAUUGACGAAGACUGACUACAUCCUCGUUGUUACUCACAAUACUUCUCAAUACUAAACCUAUGUAAGUAGUCACAACCAACUAACUAACUGCAUAAGUAGUGACGGCUAACUGGCUUUCGGUGCUUGUGUGCACUCCUUUAGUUUCGUUUUUUCAAUUGUCUUAAUCUGUGCAUGGAUAUAAAUUAGGAUGUGCUAAUAAAGGAGGGGACAUCGAACGAUGUCGAUGCACCAGAGUCAGGGGUAGCAGAGGAAUUCCAUCGACGUAAAGGUCACCUGAAACAUUGGUUGAGCCAUGAACUUUGGUUGCACCUGGAUCAACAAGUUUGGAGGGCUUCACAUAGGUAAUGAAAGAUGUGGAGACAGUGCCAAUCUGCAAUCUGGAGGAUAUCGCAGUUGCCACUCAACUCUGAUGUUUCAAAAUCGAAAUCAACAACUUGAUAGUCUGGAUUUUGAAGGACGACUAUGUCUUUCAUUGAUGGCUGAUUAAUAGUUAGGUGUAAUUGCCUUAUCAGUAUUGGCAGCUGCCCUGUGUUCUGAGUGUUCGAGGCGUUUACGUAAAUUGUCAUCGAUUGUCAAAUUUAGUCUCUCGAAAAUCGAGAUUAUGUGACUCUCACCUUCACUCUUCUCACAUUUUUGGUGAGUCCUUGCAAGAUAUUAUUGACCGCUGUGAGUAGAGUUUGAUUGAGGAAUCCCUCACCAAUAGUACGAUGUGUAUAUUCCGCUGGAUUUUCCACAUAAUCAUACCAAUCAUCAGUACAAUUCUUAUGAUCAUUAAAAGCGUAGAAUGGAAUUGUCUGCAGUGCCAUUGUCGAUGGUUUUGUACGAUUGCUUGAUGCCUGUUCUUGAACAUCGGAAGGUGAUUCUGAAGAUAGAACGUCGUCGGAAGGUUGUGAUGUAGCUAUAUCUUCAUUGAAUACUUAAAUUAUGAAUAUUAAAUGAGCCUAUUUGGCACGAAGAACAUUAAUUGUAGCUUACGUGUUUCGUAUGUAUUAGUAUCAGUCUUCUGGCCUGACUUUGAACUUACGGAAGAUCUUUCAUUGUGUUGUACCUGCGUGGGGGGUCCUUAUAUUUACUGUAGGUUCUACGCUCGAAGGGAUAAAUCCCACCAAUAGUUUAUAGGUAUUCAAAUAUUAGAGUUUAGUACUUUAAUUAUGUC